UACGGAGGGUGCGAGCGUUAAUCGGAAUAACUGGGCGUAAAGGGAGCGCAGGCGGUUGGAUUAGUCUGAUGUGAAAGCCCACGGCUUAACCGGUGAAGGUCAUUGGAAACUGUCCAUCUUGAAUGCAGAAGAGGUAAGUGGAAUUCCAUGUGUAGCGGUGAAAUGCGUAGAUAUAUGGAGGAACACCAGUGGCGAAGGCGACUUUCUGGACUGUAACUGACACUGAGGCACGAAAGCGUGGGUAGCAAACAGG
rnacentral:rRNA from 1 species